GUUAUUAUUCAGAAGUUCUUCGGGAUGGAAGGAUAAGAACUUAGUGGCGGACGGGUGAGUAACGCGUGGGUAACCUGCCCUUUUGUGGGGAACAACUUCGAGAAAUCGGAGCUAAUACCGCAUAAUAAUAGAGGAUCGCAUGAUUCUUUAAGGAAAGAUGGCCUCUGAAGAUGCUAUCGCAAAAGGAUGGACCCGCGUCUGAUUAGCUAGUUGGAAGGGUAACGGCCUACCAAGGCAACGAUCAGUAGCCGGCCUGAGAGGGUGAACGGCCACAUUGGGACUGAGACACGGCCCAAACUCCUACGGGAGGCAGCAGUGGGGAAUCUUCCGCAAUGGGCGAAAGCCUGACGGAGCAAUGCCGCGUGAGUGAAGAAGGCCUUCGGGUUGUAAAACUCUGUCCUUAUCGAAGAGAGGUAGGUAUGUGAAUAAUGUACCUAUAGGACGGUAGAUAAGGAGGAAGCCCCGGCUAACUACGUGCCAGCAGCCGCGGUAAUACGUAGGGGGCGAGCGUUGUCCGGAAUCACUGGGCGUAAAGGGCGCGUAGGCGGUUUAAUAAGUCAGUGGUGAAAACUGAGGGCUCAACCCUCAGCCUGCCACUGAUACUGUUAGACUUGAGUAUGGAAGAGGAGAAUGGAAUUCCUAGUGUAGCGGUGAAAUGCGUAGAUAUUAGGAGGAACACCAGUGGCGAAGGCGAUUCUCUGGGCCAAGACUGACGCUGAGGCGCGAAAGCGUGGGGAGCAAACA
rnacentral:rRNA from 1 species